rnacentral:misc_RNA from 1 species
GAACGCACCUUGCGCCCUUUGGUAUUCCGAAGGGCAUGCCUGUUUGAGUGUCAUGAAACCUCACCCCACUUGGGUUUUUGCCCGAGCGGUGGUGGAUUGGGCGUCUGCCGUUAAUGGCUCGCCUGAAAAGCAUAAGCAACUUUGGAUGUAAUACGUUUCAUCCUUUCGAGUGGCUGACAACCCCACAUAUUUCAUGAUCUGGCCUCAAAUCAGGUAGGGCUACCCGCUGAACUUAAG